AUGGGGCAGAUUGCUAAAUGGGCGAUAGAACUUGGUCCCCAUCAUGUGAAAUAUGCACCGCGUGCUGCCAUCAAGUCUCAGGCAGUUGGAAGGUUCAGGCGCUGGAGUGGUGUUGACAUCUCCAAGUUGGAAGGUUCAGGCGCUGGAGUGGAGUAUGAAGCUUUUCUCCAUGGGCUCAGGAUAGCUAAGGAGAUGAAUUUGAGUCGAGUCAGGUGUUUGGGCGACUCAGAUUUAGUGGCUCAGCAGGUGUCAGAAGACAUAGCAAUUCCUGACCCGGAGUCGCAAUUGGUGGUCGCCCUCACAGCAAUUCCUGAUUGGACGAUACCUUACAUGGCUUAUCUGGCUCGAGGCGAGUUGCCAUCCAAUGAAGUUUUCACCAGGCAGAUCGUGCGGCGAUGCAAAUCCAUGGUUAUACACAAAGUUUGGGGGCUUGACAUGGUUGGUCCUUCUAAAAGAUCUUCGGACAAGAAGAUACAUCUGAUGGUUGUGGUUGAUAAAUUUACAAAGUGGGUUGAAGCGGAACCAGUCAGUAACUAUGAAGCAGAAAUGGCGGUCAAAUUCCUCAAGAAGCUGAUCUUUCGUUUUGGUUACCCUCAUAGCAUCAUCACCGACAAUGCAUUAGUAGUUUUGCAAAAAAACAUCUCUCCGCCCCUCCUCUGGCUUCCCCUUUCCUCCAUCUCCCACCCCUUGCUCCCUCCCCGCAGCCUCCUCGCGCAGCCGCAGCUAGGGUUCCUCGCGCCACGCCGCCGGCCAGCAGAAGCAGGAGAUACCGCCGCCCGCCAUGGCGACGCCGCAGGCACCCUCCCCUCCCACGCUGCCCCCGUGGUCUUCCCCACGACCCUACCCAUCCCGCCGCCGCCGCGCAGCGUGGUGCCGUCCUCCUCCCCCGCCUCCCCUUGGCUGGCCGGCGAGGUCCCGGGCUCCAAUUCGCGAAAAGGUACGAGCUUUCUGCCCUCCGGCGGCCGCCCCAAUCCCCGGCCAGUCCCCCCGUAUUUCCGGCCGCACCGCCCAGAUCCGCCCCCGCCAGAUCCCCCUGUGUUUGGAUAGGAAAAAUGUCGCGGACAAGCAGGUGAGGUGGACGGAUAUCGGUGAGAAGAAACAGGAGCUCGUCCCCAACAUUGCAAAGGACCAUGCCAAGCAGGUGAGGAUGGCAGAGAACAACAGUCGGAUACAGAAGCUGGUACCCAACGUAAAAAAGGAUCGCUCAUCACAUAGAAGAAGCAUCGCUGAGCUGUGGAGGAGGACGGAGAUCAGCAAGCGGGUGCAGAAUCUGCAAGAGCUCAUCCCCAACAUGGAGAAGGUAAUUAAACAAACUGUUGGAACGCCAAAGCCAUACACUAACAUGGCUCUGCCAGGAAUUAAUCCACUGCAAACCAACACGUGUGACAUGUUGGAUCUGGCUGUUGAUUACAUCAAGGAACUCCAGAUGCAGAUCAAGCUGACCAUGGACCUCGUCAUGGCGCUUUCGCUUGUUGAUUCACUGAAGGUGAUGAAGGAAGAAGAGGCGAUUUGCAUACUCCCCUUCUAAAGUGUUAGUUGCAGUGUGAGACUAGAAAUAUUAGACUGACUGAUUCCAUAUUGGAGUUAUGUUUCUAUUGAUCAAGGGUCCAUAUUAAAGUUAGAUUUCUUCAUUUAUGUUAUGUCCCACCUCACAAAAGCCUUUGGAAUGAGCUAUAUAAUCAUUGUAUAAGUAACCUAUUUAUAAUUACACGUGCCCCUUUACCACUAUGUUUGUUACUCAUCCAGUCUCCUUUAAGAUGUUCUUCCAACAAAUAUGAUCUAUACAAUGGUAUACAAUGUUCAAAAACUUAUAAGAAAGUGUCAUGUGAGAAUUUUGAUAAUACAUAGAAUAGGUCAUACUACCAUGGACAUUUAUAACUUGGUAUAAUUCAGUGCUUCUUUAAAUAGGUAUAAUUAAUUAUUUAUAUAUUGUUCUUUGCGUAGAUUUCUGUUCCAUUAUUUGGUCUGUUCUACUUUCGUUUGAUAAUAUGUUAUGAUUUUCUGUCGUGCAUCCCACGGAUUUUAGGUUCAUCAGUUAACUUGAUUCUUCUCUCUGCCUAUUGAUAUUGUGUUAAAUGAGAAUCUAUUUUUGUCGUUCCAAUCGGUACUAC